UGCGCAGGCGGACCUAUUAGUCAGUGGUGAAAUCCCGGGGCUCAACUCCGGAACUGCCAUUGAUACUGUAGGUCUUGAGUUUGGUUGAAGUGGGCGGAAUGUAGCAUGUAGCGGUGAAAUGCAUAGAUAUGCUACAGAACACCGAUCGCGAAGUCAGCUCACUAAACCAAAACUGACGCUCAGGCACGAAAGCGUGGGUAGCGAACAGGAUUAGAUACCCUGGUAGUCC
rnacentral:rRNA from 1 species